rnacentral:rRNA from 1 species
AACGAACGCUGGCGGCAGGCCUAACACAUGCAAGUCUAGCGAGACCUUCGGGUCUAUCGGCGGACGGGUGCGUAACGCGUUGGAACGUUCCCUUUUCUACGGUAUAUCCUCGGGAAACUGAGCGUAAUUCCGUAUACGCCCUUUCGCGGCAAGAUUUAUCGGAGCAGGAUCGGCCCGCGUUGGAUUAGGUAGUUGGUAGGGUAAUGGCCUACACAGCUUGAGAUCCAUAGCUGGUUUGAGAGAAUGAUCAGCGACACUGGGACUGGGACACGGACCAGACUCGUACGGGAGGAAGGAGGGGGGAAUAAUAGAAAAUGGGGGCAACAGUGAGCAAGCCAUAACGAGAGAGUGAUGAAGGCCAUAGGGUAGUAAAGGAAUUUCAGCUGGGAAGAUAAUGACGGUACCAGCAGAAGAAGCGCCGGCUAACUACGUG